rnacentral:lncRNA from 1 species
CUGGGAGCCCCACAGUCCCGCAGCCGCGACGCCGCCACCCGCCAAGUGCCGAGGCCCGGGGCCCACCCCAGCCCAGCUCCAGGAGAGGCCGCGCAGGAGGACCGCGAGGACGGCGCCGCAGCGCCAGGUCAGGCUGAGCUAAGGGAGGAAACGGAGCGAAAAGUGAUGGCGGGCAGAGGACCCCGGGCGGGCGGAGAAUCGCUGACGAGGGCAUUUCGGGAGGAGCUGAACCUCGGAGCACAGGGCUCCUUCCCGGGAAGGCAGGGCGUGACCCCGGAGCCGCGGGUCCCUCUUCCCGCGGCCCCAGGCGUGGCUGGCGCGCUCCAGGAUCUGGGGCUUCUACAGGUUUGCUUUGUUUUCUGCUUUUGCAUCUAAAAACCCGCUCUCUCCUCGCCCGCCUGUCGGAGACCCGGACUCCGACCCGUCUGCCUCCCUCCGGCGCCGUCUCCGGGAGCGCGGGCGCGGUGGGGCCUGCAGGCCGGGCUGGGACCUGGCGCGCCCGGGGCGCUAGUGGCUCGGCCGCCGCCGCAGAACCCGCUCCCUGCGAAACAGCCGCACCCGCUCCCGAGGAGAGUCAUGAGAACUAGGGUCGCGCCUGACCCGCGCGCCUGAGGAAAACCAGCCCGCGGGCCCCGCCACACGGGCCGUGACCCGAGCCCCGCGCGCUGUCCCGAACGCACGGUGAUAACGCCCCGCUGCGCCAGCCUCGCUCGGCCCCCCUCCUCCACCCCUUCUCCGAAAAAAAAAUUCUGAAAUGGGAACGAAGACCGAAAAACUCGCCAUGACCGUUUCCCUCCCCGGCCCCUAGCUUCGGCCCGGAAGGCCCUUCAGGGCAGCGGCCGUGGGUACCACGAGCCGGCCGGUUCCCCUAGCCGCGGACCGACCGGGCGGGGCCAACUCAGGACUGCUCCGGGGAGGGGAGCAGGGUAGGGGAGCGAAUAGUAGGGGUUCGUUCGUGGGUCACCCAAAGCUGGGAGCACGCUGGCGGCGCCCGGACUUCGCCGACUGUCCGCCCGGUGCCACCCGCGCGGCUCGCGCCAGACGCAGCCUGGCGGUCCCUGCCCUGUCUCGAGUAUUUAUUUUUAAUGCUGGGUGUCGAUCGGGACAACAAGCGUUCAGAGCAAAGCAAGGACGCAUUACGGGGGGAAUUUUAAACCGAUCGAUAAGAUUUUUCAGAGAAAAAAAUCGCUUAUAUAGUCCAUAUUUUUUAAGAAAAAAAAGCUUCGACAUUUUAACGGAUUUUGUUAAAAGGGAAGGUAUAUAUUUCUUAACAUCACAACCCUGAAUUUCUUUUGCUAAAAAAAAAAAAAAAAUGUAAAACCCCAAAGCCAGAAUAAAAAAUAAUAAUAAAAAUACAAAAACAAAAAAAAAUGAAAGCAAUUUCAGUUACUUACUGGAGGCUGUUUCCUGGAUACAACUGAAUGCAAUACAAUUAAAUCAGUAAAUGUGACUUUGUUUUGUAUUCCUAUUGGUAUUUUCAAUGUGCUGACUGUUGCACUGUAAAUGCACCGCUUCCACAACAACGACUCUAGCGAGCCCAUCCAGAGCGGCUCUCAAACCUGCAGCCUGGC